rnacentral:rRNA from 1 species
UACAGGGGGUGCAAACGUUGCUCGGAAUCAUUGGGCGUAAAGCGCACGUAGGCGGUUCGUUAUGUCGGAUGUGAAAGCCCUUGGCUUAACCGAGGAAGUGCAUCCGAAACUGGCGAGCUAGAGUACGAAAGAGGAUCGCGGAAUUCCCGGUGUAGAGGUGAAAUUCGUAGAUAUCGGGGGGAACACCGGUGGCGAAGGCGGCGAUCUGGGUCGAUACUGACGCUGAGGCGCGAAAGCGUGGGGAGCAAACAGG